rnacentral:rRNA from 1 species
GAUGAACGCUGGCGGCAUGCCUAAUACAUGCAAGUCGAACGAACACACGAGGAGCUUUCUCCCCUGACGUUAGCGGCGGACGGGUGAGUCACACAUGGAUAACCUACCUAUCAGACUGGGGUGACUUCGGGAAACCGGAUCUAAUACCCGAUAAUAUAUUGAACCGCAUGGUUCAAUAGUUAAAUACGGUUUUUGUUGCAGUUCAAGCUGGAUACGCGCCACAUUAGUUAGUGGGCUAGGUAACGGCUUACCCAGGCUGCGAUGCGUAGCCGCCCUGAGAGGGUGGUCGGCCACACUGGAAGUGAGACACGGUCCAGACUCCGGCGGGGGGACGCAGUAGGGAAUCUUCCGCAAUGGGGGAAAGCCUGAUGGAGCAAAGCGGCGUAAGUGAUGAAGGUCUUCGGAUGGUAAAGCUCUGUUAUUAGGAAAGAACAAAAGCGCAAGUACCUGGGAUGGUAUUGACGGUACCGAAUGAAAAAGCACCGGCUAACUACGUG